UCCCUAGUGGCUCAGACAGCAAAGCGUCUGCCUCCAAUGCAGGAAACCUGGGUUCGAUUCCUGGGUCGGGAG
rnacentral:tRNA from 1 species